GGGGAUAUGGCGGAAUGGUAGACGCAGCGGACUCAAAAUCCGUUGGUUUCACAGGACCGUGAGGGUUCGACUCCCUCUAUCCCCA
rnacentral:tRNA from 13 species